UGUGUUAAUUAUAUUUAUUAUUCUCAAUGUAUUUAUCGUGAAACAAAUACAUACCGAUGUCGUUCUAGUACGGAUCACUGUGCUCGCAUGGCACUAUCAAAAAAAAAAUAUACAUAUGAGAGAUUGAGAAGUGCGAGUUCACUACUAAUACUAUUUACUCUAACCUACACAAAAUCAAUUAUUAUGAACGCGUUAGAGGGAAAUAAUCAAACAAACUUAUACAAUGAUACGAUAGACGUAUAGCGAGGGCAGCGUUCCCCGCUCGAUUCGUAGUUUUGUUCAUACUUGUCGCUGAAGUCACGCACAUUUCGAGUGAAAGAUGAUGAGCAGCCUUAAUUGUUCGUGCAAUUAUAAAUGAGUCCAUCUUCCUAUUUAUAAAGUGAAAGGAGGAAUAUUAAAACAUUAUCAUUGUCUUCUUAAAUCAAAUUACCAAGUCAAUUUGCAACUGCAAUCCACAUUAUUUUCGAUCUACUGCGAAUUGAUUUAGUUUAUUUACAACGGGGACGUGUUUAGUACCAUCAUGGAACAUCUUAAGUAGUGAAUGAACAAAUUCAAAUUCUUCCAUUCUUAUUAUUCUGAGGACGAAGGAUCUGCAUUAGCCCGAGUUAUUGUUCAUAAUUUUUUCAUUUAAUCAUUGAAAAGUAUGACCUUUAGUAAUUCCCUUUUUGGAUUUGCUCACGAGUGGUACAUUUUCCAUGGUGUUUUUAUUAUUUUUCUAUUGUAUGUACCUAUUUUAGUUAGUAUUAUAUAUACCUAUUUUUGUUAACUAAGGAUAGGUUCUUUUUGUUUCAUCGAUAUGUUUCGUUUAAUUAACAGUACAUUUAUUUAAAACUUUCUUUGUACAUAUUUAUUCACAAUAUUAGUGGUGAAAUUAGAAAUUCAUUUAUAUGAUAUUAUCGAAAAAGGUACGU